rnacentral:lncRNA from 10 species
CCCAGAUCCUUUUCAAAAACCCUAGCCGCAGAAUUUGACUGGCAGAGGAUGUGUUUAUACUUAGUCUCACUAUCAAUUCUCCCUAAAAUGGAAAACCUGCAACAAAGGAUGCACUAAAAUGCUGCUCCCCAGGGCAGGCUUGUGUCAGCACAAGAGGCAGUUACAGGGAGAUCAUGUUAAGGGAUUUGCACUUAAUAACCUUGGCACCGGUCCAGCCAAGGCUGGGAAAAGUACUCCCAGUUCUCUACCCCAGCAGCAAAUGAUGUAAUUCACGCUACAAGGAGGCACGUCCGCUGACCUGGCUUGGCAGAGAGACAAAGAGACUUAGAUGAAUGUAGCCCCAGAUGCAGAGUUCAGAACUAUGAAGUAAGUGUGAAGUGCUCGAUGUGCUGAGAAAGAAAAAGGAAAGGUCUUCAGACUGAUGGAGUGUGACAGGAUCCAGAUGAGCCCUCUUCUUGAGUUGAAUUAUAGGGCUUCCAGGAGCACUCUUCUACCUGUCAUUUGGAGUACAUGUGCAACAAUUUCCCUUCUAUCUGUUUAGAGCAGAGAUGAUGUUCCACCGUGUUAACCAGGAUGGUCUCGAUCUCCUGACCUCAUGAUCCGCCUGCUUCAGCCUCCCAAAGUGCUGGGAUUACAGAUGUGAGCUACCGUGCCCAGCCUGUUGUUUUCUUUCUAACUUCUGAAGUUAGAUGCUUAGUUCAUUGGUUUUCUAAAGUAUUUUCUAAAGGCCAUUAUGAUUUCUCCUUUGAACAAUGUACAACUAAAAGAAUAUUUCAAAUACUUUAAAUAUAUACAUUUAAUUUUUUUUCCUUAAAUUACUCAUUUCCUACUUAAUUGCAUUGUAGGGAAGAAUAUUGACUGUAUGAAUCAAUAUUUGGAAAUUUGUUGAUUUUUUUCUAUUUUCUUUUUAUAAUUCUGUCAAUUCUUGCUUCAUAUUAUUAAGGUCAUAUUAUUUUGUGCUGGUGGGUAGAAAUAGAUUGUAUGUUCUUGAUCAAUUGACUUUUUUAUCAUUAUGUAAGCCUAGAAAUUUUUACCUUAAUAUACUUAUUUGAACUUUGUUAGUAUUUGUAUGUUAUUUUUUUCCUUCUUUAUAUUUUAAAUGUUAUUGUCUUGUUAUAUUUUAGAUGUGUCUCUUAUCAACAGCAUAGAGCUAGAUCUAAAAAUUCCAGUCUAGCAAUUUGGCCUCUUAAAUGGAGUUUUUAGCAUAGUUAUAUUUUUGUAAUUACUAAAAUAUUUGGGUUAUUUUCAGCAUCUUAUUUUCUGCUUUAUAAUUGUUCCUCUUGUUCUAUGUUUCUUUCACUUUCCUUUCAUAUCUUAUUUUACAUUAAUUUUAAAAAUUAUAUUAUUUUUCUGUAUUAUUUUGGAAAUUAUAUACCCUAUACUUAUCAAUUAAAAUUUGCUUAUUCUAGAAAUACAUUUUAAAGAAUUUUAGUGAGAAUUUAUGGAAAGUAAACAUUUUUAGUUGUAGUUCCUCUGAAGAAUAUCUUUUUGUCACCCUUAUUCUUGAGAAUGAUUUUCUUUGGUACAUAAUUCUAUGUUGAUAAUUAUUUUCUUUUUGCAUGUUGAAGAUAUCAUUCUACUGUUCUCUGGUUUCCAUUUUAUUCCUCCUAGGUUCAUUAUUUGCAGUAAUUGUGUUCUAGAAACUCACUGUUAACACUGAAUUAUUAAAUAUUGAACCACUGCUCCUAGAGAAAAUAAAAGGUGAGGUUCCAUGAGCAUGUGGUCACAACAUUUUCAUUAGCUUAUCAACACAUAACCUUGUUUUGUAUGUGUUUCUGUUUAAAAACACCUUAUUUAAUCUAUAUUGUUGAUUAAUUAACAUUGAACUUGCAGACCACAGCACUGUACUCAUAUCUGAAUGCAGCUUCUGUAACAUGUGUAUUUUCCCCCAAAGACACAUCAUAGUCUUCUUGUUCUUAGGACCACUAACAGUAUUUUAGCACUAUGCUUGAGGAGAAUUUUAAACCACAAAAUCACCAACAAAAAGCACAGAAAUCGAAAAAUAUGCCACUAAAUAGACUGUGAAAAAGACAAAUGUUUAUAGUAUAAGAGCUAAUAAAAGAAGGCAGAGGGUUGUGUUGUUUGAUCUUGGCUAGAAAGUAUGUAUGAGAUAACUCAGAUAUUUUGCCACAUUGUGCAUCUCCCUGAAUAACCAUGAAAGUGCUGCAAGAAUGGAUUUUGGGGUUACUAAUAAAUUUUAGCAAGUAGGCAAAUUUUCAAAUAUUGAAUCUGUGAAUAAUGAGCACCAACUAUAAUUGGUCCUUUUUUAAAAAAAUCUUAUUCUUCAGGUUUUGUGCUCUUCAGUUUCACUCUAAUAGUAUAUAUGUCAAUUUUAUUUUUAAAAUUUUUUGAUAAAAUUUUGAUUUUCUUAGACUUCAUAAAUCUGGGGCUUAAUAUUUCUCAUCAGUUCUUUAAGAAUGCUCAGCCAUUUCUUCUUCAAGUAUUCUGUCACCCAUUUUCUCUCUCUUUCUUUUUCUGGGACUCUAGACAUAUUUUUGAACUUUUUACUUUGUUAUUUAUGACUCCUAACUAUUAUUCAGUAUCUUUCAUUUCUUUGUCUCUCUGUGUUGCAUUAUGGAUUCAUUCUUUAAAUCUAAUUUCCAGUUUACUAAAUCUUUCUUCGGCUAUAUCAAAUCUGCUGAAAAAGCCAUUGUUUAAAUUUUAAUUUCAGUUGUUUUCUUUAAUUUUUACAAGUUCUUUUUGAUACUUUUUUCCAAAUAUUAUUGAUCUUUUUAAAAAUCCCUUGCUCUUGGCUUGAAAUCUUUAUCCUCUCUUCUAUUACUUUAAACAUACUACAUACAUGCAUAUAUUUUUAUAUCCCAUGUCUGAUAAUACCAUUAUCAGAAGUCAUUUUAAUUCUGACUCUAUUUUUUACUUUUUUCUAGCUCAUACUCAUGUUGCUUUCUUUAUUAAUCUAUUAAGUGUUUCCUCCUCCCCCUUCUACUUCUUCCUCUCCCCCAUUCCUCCUUUCUUUUCUUCACCAUUAGCCUAUAAUCUUUAGAAGUAUAUUAGUAGGAAUUUUUUGAGACUUGGCUUGAAGAUGUAUUUCUUCAGUGAGGACUUUGUUCACUUUUCCUAAAUGCCUGAAAACCAUUUUAAACUGAAUUGAGAGCUUCAAGGCUUUUUAGGUCACCAGGAGUAUAUGAAUUUAGGCUGCAAACCUACAUGAGGCCCAGAGUGUAUACCUAAAUUCUUAGGGAAUAUUUUCCUCCUUAACCUAAAACAAAAUGUUGAGAUAGGCACCCUUUCUCUGACAGUGUAUGGGGUUUCCUUUUCAGCAUUUCAUGAUAAGCAUAUUCUAGGUUUUGUCUCCAAUCUUCCUGCAUUGGGAGGCUAUGAAAACUAAAGCUCAGUGCUCUCAGGGUAAAGCCAAUUUGAGUUCUUUUUCCCUUUGUGUGUGUAUUUGUUACUUGAACCACACCCACUGAUUUUUAUAAAAACAAUAUAUUCUAUCAUUUGGCCUCACAUUUUAUUAGAACUAAGAAGGGUAGGAGAGUUUUUCAGAGUUUGGUGUCACAUCCAUGCGUACUAGGUUAGUGUUGUGAAAGUUCUGAGCACUGGGUGGGGGGCAGUGGGAGGGGAAUAUGCUUCAUUCUUUGUGCAGUUUUUCAAACUAUUUUCUUUUCAAACUACAAAACCAGAAAGUGUUCAUGUGAUAGGGCAUUAACAUAGAGAUACACAAAGAAAACGGCAACAAUCUGUCUCCCCCACUAUUGGCUCCUUAGCAGCCAAUAUUUACACUUUUGGAUGCAUGUUUAUCCUUAGCUCUGUAAGCUCAUACAAUUAUAUGCCAACAGAUACACAAUACAGAUUCUCUUUCUUUCUCUUCAUUACCAAAUAAUGAGAUGAUACUAUAAAUAUUUCUGCCACUUGCCUUUUCAUAUAACAGCAUAUCAUAUUCCUCCACGUCAAUAUAUGUAGCCUAAGUCGUAUGUUAUUAAUAGAAGCAUGUUAUUCUGUAGUAUGUAUAUAUGUGCUCCAAUUUAUUCAGCCAUUUCUCUAUUUAUAAACAGUAGUUUUCCUGCCAGAAUUUUACCAUUGAUGGUAGGGAAAGAUCAGCAAUGAACAUUCUAGACACAAUUUUAUUUGUACUGGUGCUUUUAUUUUUGUAGAAUAGAUCUUGCUGGAUCAAAGGCUGUUUGCGAUUUGCUUUCCAAAAAAAUUAUAGCUGUUGUAUAAGAGUGUCCUUUCCUCCAUAUUUUAGCUAACAAUAUAUUUUAUCAGUCUUUCUAAUAGAUGCCAGGCUGAUGAGGGGAAAUGCAUCUCAUGUUUGCCUUGUUUACUUCAACCUGAAUUUUCAAUAAGGUUGAGCAUCCUUCCAUAUGAUUAAUACCCAUUUGCAUCAACUCUAAAGUGGAAAACUGCAUACACUUUAUUCAUUUUUCUAUCAGAUUGCUUGAUGUUUACCUAUAAAUUUCUAUGGCUUUUUGUAAGUUAGAAAGAGUAAUCUUUGUCUGUCACAUAUAUUUCAAAUAUUUUUUCCAGCCUAUCAUUUGUUUUUUGACUUUGCAUUUGGUGUAUGGACAUUUUUAUCAGUUUCAUUGAGCUGUAAUUUACAUACAAUAAAAUUGACCUGUUUUAAGUGUACAAUGUGGUAGAUUUUGACAAAUAGGUACCUGUAUGUAACCAUCACCACAAUGAUGAUAUAGAAGUUUCAUUAUCCCACAUAUUUUACCUAUGCUUCUUUGUAACCAAUCUUUUCCCACCUCUAGCCCUGUGACCACUGAUCUGGUUUUCUUGCCUUUUCUGGAAUUUCAUAUAAAUGAAAUUAUGCAGCAUGUAGUCAUUUGUGCCUGUCUUUUUUCACUGAACAUAAUACCUUGAGAUCCCAUGUUGUGUGUAUCAGCCGUUCCACUUUUUAAAUAGCUGUAUGCAUAUUCCACAGUUUGUUUAUCCAUUCACCAGUAAAUAUUUAUUUCAGUUGUUGUUUUACCUAAUAUGAAUAAAACUGGUAAAAAAGUUUAA